GACGAACGCUGGCGGCGUGCUUAACACAUGCAAGUCGAACGGAAAGGCCCUGCUUUUGUGGGGUGCUCGAGUGGCGAACGGGUGAGUAACACGUGAGUAACCUGCCCUUGACUUUGGGAUAACUUCAGGAAACUGGGGCUAAUACCGGAUAGGAGCUCCUGCUGCAUGGUGGGGGUUGGAAAGUUUCGGCGGUUGGGGAUGGACUCGCGGCUUAUCAGCUUGUUGGUGGGGUAGUGGCUUACCAAGGCUUUGACGGGUAGCCGGCCUGAGAGGGUGACCGGCAACAUUGGGACUGAGAUACGGCACAGACUCCUACGGGAGGCAGCAGUGGGGAAUAUUGCACAAUGGGCGGAAGCCUGAUGCAGCAACGCCGCGUGCGGGAUGACGGCCUUCGGGUUGUAAACCGCUUUCGCCUGUGACGAAGCGUGAGUGACGGUAAUGGGUAAAGAAGCACCGGCUAACUACGU
rnacentral:rRNA from 1 species